rnacentral:lncRNA from 1 species
GAACAAAUAAAAGAAGUGAAAUAACUAGCAACUAAUGAUAUCAGAGCAAGUAAAGUUCUAUCAUCUACACCAAAGUAAAGAAAAAAAGCUAGUCAAUAGGAGAAACCAUAAGUAGUACAAUAUCAGCCUCAAGUACAAAAAUGGUGGUCUCUAUACAUAUACGGGUACAACUCUCAACCUCUCACAAAAAGAAAACACGAGAGGUAGACCACCUAUCGAACGAUCCCUCGGUAAGCACGCUAGCCCGAGGCGAUACCCUUUC